GAUGAACGCUGACAGAAUGCUUAACACAUGCAAGUCUACUUGAACUUCGGUUUGGGUGGCGGACGGGUGAGUAACGCGUAAAGAACUUGCCUCACAGUUAGGGACAACAUUUGGAAACGAAUGCUAAUACCUGAUAUUAUGAUUUUAGGGCAUCCUAAAAUUAUGAAAGCUAUAUGCGCUGUGAGAGAGCUUUGCGUCCCAUUAGCUAGUUGGAGAGGUAACGGCUCACCAAGGCGAUGAUGGGUAGCCGGCCUGAGAGGGUGAACGGCCACAAGGGGACUGAGACACGGCCCUUACUCCUACGGGAGGCAGCAGUGGGGAAUAUUGGACAAUGGACCAAAAGUCUGAUCCAGCAAUUCUGUGUGCACGAUGACGUUUUUCGGAAUGUAAAGUGCUUUCAGUUGGGAAGAAAAAAAUGACGGUACCAACAGAAGAAGAGACGGCUAAAUACGUG
rnacentral:rRNA from 1 species